GAUUGAAAGGGGCUGCUCCUAGUACGAGAGGACCGGAGUGGACGCACCACUGGUGUUCGGGUUGUCAUGCCAAUGGCACUGCCCGGUAGCUACGUGCGGAAGAGAUAACCGCUGAAAGCAUCUAAGCGGGAAACUUGCCUUGAGAUGAGUCUUCCCUUGUCCUUUAAGGACACUGAAGGAACGUUCGAGACGAGGACGUGGAUAGGCCGGGUGUGUAAGCGUAGCGAUACGUUGAGCUGACCGGUACUAAUGAACCGUGCGGCUUAACCUGACAACACCGAAGGUGUUU
rnacentral:rRNA from 1 species